rnacentral:rRNA from 1 species
UGGGGAAUUUUGGACAGUGGGGGCAACCCUGAUCCAGCAAUGCCGCGUGUGUGAAGAAGGCCUUCGGGUUGUAAAGCACUUUUGUCCGGAAAGAAAUCGCCCUGGCUAAUAUCCGGGGUGGAUGACGGUACUGGAAGAAUAAGCACCGGCUAACUACGUGCCAGCAGCCGCGGUAAUACGUAGGGUGCAAGCGUUAAUCGGAAUUACUGGGCGUAAAGCGUGCGCAGGCGGUUGUGCAAGACAGAUGUGAAAUCCUCGGGCUUAACCUGGGAAUGGCAUUUGUGACUGCACGGCUAGAGUGUGUCAGAGGGGGGUAGAAUUCCACGUGUAGCAGUGAAAUGCGUAGAUAUGUGGAGGAACACCGAUGGCGAAGGCAGCCCCCUGGGAUAACACUGACGCUCAUGCACGAAAGCGUGGGGAGCAAACGGGAUUAGAUACCCUGGUAGUCCACGCCCUAAACGAUGUCAACUAGUUGUCGGGUCUUAAUUGACUUGGUAACGCAGCUAACGCGUGAAGUUGACCGCCUGGGGGAGUCGGUCGCAAAGAUUAAAAACUU